CAGCAGCCGCGGGAAUACGUAGGGUGCAAGCGUUAAUCGGAAUUACUGGGCGUAAAGCGUGCGCAGGCGGUUUGUUAAGACAGAUGUGAAAUCCCCGGGCUCAACCUGGGAACUGCAUUUGUGACUGGCAAGCUAGAGUGUGGCAGAGGGGGGUGGAAUUCCGCGUGUAGCAGUGAAAUGCGUAGAUAUGCGGAGGAACACCGAUGGCGAAGGCAGCCCCCUGGGCCAACACUGACACUGAGGCACGAAAGCGUGGGGAGCAAACAGGAUUAGAUACCCCUGUAGUCCCUGUCUCUUAUAC
rnacentral:rRNA from 1 species